rnacentral:rRNA from 1 species
UACGUAGGGUGCAGGCGUUAAUCGGAAUUACUGGGCGUAAAGCGUGCGCAGGCGGUCUUUUAAGUCAGAUGUGAAAUCCCCGGGCUUAACCUGGGAACUGCGUUUGAAACUGGAAGGCUAGAGUGUGGCAGAGGGGGGUGGAAUUCCACGUGUAGCAGUGAAAUGCGUAGAUAUGUGGAGGAACACCGAUGGCGAAGGCAGCCCCCUGGGCUAACACUGACGCUCAUGCACGAAAGCGUGGGGAGCAAAAGGG